UACGUAGGGUGCAAGCGUUGUCCGGAAUUAUUGGGCGUAAAGAGCUCGUAGGCGGUUUGUCGCGUCUGCUGUGAAAUCUGGAGGCUCAACCUCCAGCCUGCAGUGGGUACGGGCAGACUAGAGUGCGGUAGGGGAGAUUGGAACUCCUGGUGUAGCGGUGGAAUGCGCAGAUAUCAGGAAGAACACCGAUGGCGAAGGCAGAUCUCUGGGCCGUAACUGACGCUGAGGAGCGGAAAGCAUGGGGAGCGAACAGG
rnacentral:rRNA from 1 species